GGACGGGGGGAGGGGGUAAGCGGGGCGGCAGGCUCACCAUGAUUUCUGCAGCUCCCCAUCGGGACGUCCCCCAGUACAGGGCAAGGCCCUGGUCAAUGACAUGGGUCAUGGCCCGCACGAUCUCUAGGCACACGGGAGAGAGGGCAUCUCACUGUCAGAGCCCUGGCAUCCAGGACUCCACAUCUGUAACCCUCUGCCUACCCCACCGAGACCCCAGGCCUCUCCGUGUAAUCACAGAGGUUGGUAACUGCACCUCACCUCCCUCCCCGUCUAGGACCUGGGGUCUGAGCCUCCACUGUGCAGAUCGGGAGGCCUCCUGAGCAGGGGCUGGCUUCCUGCCGAGAGUUUGAGGCAGCGCUGCUUUGGGGGACCGGCAGGGCUGGGGUGCUGGUUUUACCCUCCAUGGGACUGUUGGGGUCUGAGCGGUUGGCAAAGACGAUGUCCACGUAUCCCAACUGGAGGCGCUCCAGGGAUCCUUGCAGGCCUGGGGAAGGGGUGGGGAGAGGAAGGUAAGCACUUCAGCCUCGGUUUCCCCGAAGGAUUUAGACAUUACCCCCUUGCCAUGGCCACCUAGCUCCCCACUCCCCUACUCCAAGCCUCCAACUCAGAGUCUCAGAAGAUGUUCCCAACUCCUCUGGCUUCUGUACCCAGCCCCGGCAGAUUCCCAGCCCCUAACGCUCACCCUCGAUGAUGUGUUUGCGGCUCAGGCCUCGCUCGGUCUCUGCCCUGCAGAAAAAGAUAAGUCAAAGAUGAGGUGUGACAAAGAUAGGGGACCGGGGCUGGCCUGGUGCCAUGAGAAACUGGGAUGGCGUGGGUCCCCACGGGCAGGACGCAGACCUGGGGUGGCAGCUGUACCCACACCUCUCCCAUGCACCUGCACGCAUUCUCUGUAGAUCUCCCCACAUAGAGUGUGGCGGCCACUUACUGUCCUCCCCAGAAAAUCUUGGUGGUGACGACAUAGCUUGAUCUCCUGGAAAAAGCGAAAGAGAGACAAGCAAGAGAAGGGAUGUUGGAUGGUCAUUUCCCCAGCAACCCCUCAAAACACGGUCUCACCUCCAUCCUUUGCUCUUGAGGAUGUUGCCUAGGGUUCUUUCAGCCCUAGAAGAAAGACAAUGCAGAAGCACUGAUCCCGCCAGCGUGGGUCAGUUCCUUCCCCUCCUCCCGACCUUUCCCUUCAAUGGAUUUCCUCUCUCGUAAAGUGGACCAUAAGCCAGGAGCCCAUUAGGCUGUCAGACCAUCCUGGACAAAAUAAGAGGGGCUCCCAGAAGGAGGGGUAUAGUCCUUUAGCUUUCAUUCACACCACAAAUCUCAGUUGUACACCAACUGUGUACCAAGUUCUGUUCCAGGCGCCAAAGGGAUAGAAUAAGAUGAUGAGAGAAGAACAGAGUAGUAAAGUGGGGGCUGGGUGGAGACACUGCAUCUUCUGGUCUGGUUCCAAUCAUCUGCGUGGCCCUCUCCCUUCUUCGAUCCUCUGCAAAAUCCCCCACAGCGUCCAAGGCUCAGCUUGGAUUCCGCUUCAUUCUAUUGAAAGUGUUCUCUGAUUGCCACAGUCUACGGUCAGCCCUUCUUGUCACUUUCCAUAACUUUUAUUGACCCAGUUGUUUGGCACUUAAUUAGGAGCUAACUAACACGUGACAAGUCUUAAAUGGUCUCGGUGGACUAUUACUUUAGUUUUCCUGUUAUUUAACCUUGCGUAUAUCUCCGUGUCUUGGGUUUGUUUAACCAUUCCGACCGUGAGCCUUAGGAGGGUGUGUUGUCAUCCCACAAGCAGUGACUGCUCUGUGCUAGGCUCUGCGUAGCUGCGGUGGUGACAUGAGGAAGAGGAAGACAAAUUUCACGGAAGGAGGAGCCUCCCAGUUGGGCAGCAAAUACGGCUACAUAAACCAGUAAUUGACAGAUUGUGCAUCAGAGGGCAGUAUAAAGGGCUUUGGGACCUGAGGUGAGUGGUGACCAGUUUGGGGAGCUGGACAAUGGCUUCUCGGAGGAGCUGACGUUUGGGCCAAGUCUUGAAGAUAAGCGGAAGAGUUUGCCAGAUGGAGAAGAGGCCAGGGGGAUGGGGCGGGGGGGGGUUGGUGAGGGAGCUCAUCUAGGGUUUAGCUACUCCCAGCGUGAAGCCAUGGGUAUGUGACGCGUGGCCUGGCAUGUUUGAAAAUUCAGCUUUGUAAUCCUCACAUCGUUGCAUAUAACGGAUGCCCAGGAUAUAGGUGUUGGUUUUAUUUCAGUUUUAUUGCACAGGACGCCCUUCGCCCCCUAAGCUGAAGAUGAACUUGUUGGGACUACAAUUCCCAUAGUGCUUUGGGGGCCCCUUGGCUGAAAGGUCGGAAGUUCGUGUUAACAGAAUUCCCAAGGUCCCCCAGAGGGAAAACAAGAAGCCCCGAGGUUCUCUUAGCCUUUCAAGGGCCAAGACAGGAUACUCGAAGACCAGACUUUCCCAGGUUCCUGCAGGAUACAGAAGCGGCAGGAAGGGGUGGAGCCUCCAUUAAGGGCAUAUAUUCCCAGCCCCAGCUCCUCUCCUUCCAGAAUCAGAAGCCCUCAGGGUAUCUCAGUCCAAAGGAACUAGAUCCAGUGGGCCUACCGCAUUGGGCAGUGCUAUGCCCAAAGCCUCAGUGGACAAAUAAAGGACUCUGGAGCCGA